rnacentral:misc_RNA from 1 species
AACAAGGCGUACCUGCGGACCUGCGGAAGGAUCAUUACCGAGUUUACAACUCCCAAACCCCUGUGAACAUACCAAUUGUUGCCUCGGCGGAUCAGCCCGCUCCCGGUAAAACGGGACGGCCCGCCAGAGGACCCCUAAACUCUGUUUCUAUAUGUAACUUCUGAGUAAAACCAUAAAUAAAUCAAAACUUUUAACAAUGGAUCU